GACGAACGCUGGCGGCGUGCUUAACACAUGCAAGUCGAACGGAAAGGCCCUGCUUUUGUGGGUUGCUCGAGUGGCGAACGGGGGAGUAACACGUGAGUAACCUGCCCUUGACUUUGGGAUAACUUCAGGAAACUGGGGCUAAUACCGCAUAGGAGCUCCUGCUGCAUGGUGGGGGUUGGAAAGUUUCGGCGGUUGGGGAUGGACUCGCGGCUUAUCAGCUUGUUGGUGGGGUAGUUGCUUACCACGGCUUUGACGGGUAGCCGGCCUGAGAGGGUGAACGGGCACAUUGGCACUGCGAGACGGCGCAGAAGCCAACGGGCGGCAGUAGGCGGGAAUCUUGCACAGCGGGCGGACGCGUGAUGCGGAAACGCCGCGUGCGGAAUGACGGCCUUCGGGUUGUAAACCGCUUUCGCCUGUGACGAAGCGUGAGUGACGGUAAUGGGUAAAGAAGCACCGGCUAACUACGUG
rnacentral:rRNA from 1 species